rnacentral:rRNA from 1 species
CCCAGACUCCUACGGGAGGCAGCAGUGAGGAAUAUUGGUCAAUGGGCGCGAGCCUGAACCAGCCAAGUCGCGUGAGGGAAGACGGUCCUAUGGAUUGUAAACCUCUUUUGUCGGGGAGCAAAAGACGCCACGCGUGGCGUUCCGAGAGUACCCGAAGAAAAAGCAUCGGCUAACUCCGUGCCAGCAGCCGCGGUAAUACGGAGGAUGCGAGCGUUAUCCGGAUUUAUUGGGUUUAAAGGGUGCGUAGGCGGACGCUUAAGUCAGCGGUAAAAAUUCGGGGCUCAACCCCGUCGUGCCGUUGAAACUGGCGUUCUUGAGUGGGCGAGAAGUAUGCGGAAUGCGUGGUGUAGCGGUGAAAUGCUUAGAUAUUGCGCAGAACUCCGAUUGCGAAGGCAGCAUACCGGCGGCGAUCUGACGCUGAGGCACGAAAGCGUGGGUAUCGAACAGGAUUAGAUACCCUGGUAU